rnacentral:rRNA from 1 species
CUGACAUAAGUAACGAUAAAGCGGGUGAAAAGCCCGCUCGCCGGAAGACCAAGGGUUCCUGUCCAACGUUAAUCGGGGCAGGGUGAGUCGACCCCUAAGGCGAGGCCGAAAGGCGUAGUCGAUGGGAAACAGGUUAAUAUUCCUGUACUUGGUGUUACUGCGAAGGGGGGACGGAGAAGGCUAUGUUGGCCGGGCGACGGUUGUCCCGGUUUAAGCGUGUAGGCUGGUUUUCCAGGCAAAUCCGGAAAAUCAAGGCUGAGGCGUGAUGACGAGGCACUACGGUGCUGAAGCGACAAAUGCCCUGCUUCCAGGAAAAGCCUCUAAGCAUCAGGUAACAUCAAAUCGUACCCCAAACCGACACAGGUGGUCAGGUAGAGAAUACCAAGGCGCUUGAGAGAACUCGGGUGAAGGAACUAGGCAAAAUGGUGCCGUAACUUCGGGAGAAGGCACGCUGAUAUGUAGGUGAAGCGACUUGCUCGUGGAGCUGAAAUCAGUCGAAGAUACCAGCUGGCUGCAACUGUUUAUUAAAAACACAGCACUGUGCAAACACGAAAGUGGACGUAUACGGUGUGACGCCUGCCCGGUGCCGGAAGGUUAAUUGAUGGGGUUAGCGGUAACGCGAAGCUCUUGAUCGAAGCCCCGGUAAACGGCGGCCGUAACUAUAACGGUCCUAAGGUAGCGAAAUUCCUUGUCGGGUAAGUUCCGACCUGCACGAAUGGCGUAAUGAUGGCCAGGCUGUCUCCACCCGAGACUCAGUGAAAUUGAACUCGCUGUGAAGAUGCAGUGUACCCGCGGCAAGACGGAAAGACCCCGUGAACCUUUACUAUAGCUUGACACUGAACAUUGAGCCUUGAUGUGUAGGAUAGGUGGGAGGCUUUGAAGUGUGGACGCCAGUCUGCAUGGAGCCGACCUUGAAAUACCACCCUUUAAUGUUUGAUGUUCUAACGUGGGCCCCUUACCGGGGUUGCGGACAGUGUCUGGUGGGUAGUUUGACUGGGGCGGUCUCCUCCUAAAGAGUAACGGAGGAGCACGAAGGUUGGCUAAUCCUGGUCGGACAUCAGGAGGUUAGUGCAAUGGCAUAAGCCAGCUUGACUGCGAGCGUGACGGCGCGAGCAGGUGCGAAAGCAGGUCAUAGUGAUCCGGUGGUUCUGAAUGGAAGGGCCAUCGCUCAACGGAUAAAAGGUACUCCGGGGAUAACAGGCUGAUACCGCCCAAGAGUUCAUAUCGACGGCGGUGUUUGGCACCUCGAUGUCGGCUCAUCACAUCCUGGGGCUGAAGUAGGUCCCAAGGGUAUGGCUGUUCGCCAUUUAAAGUGGUACGCGAGCUGGGUUUAGAACGUCGUGAGACAGUUCGGUCCCUAUCUGCCGUGGGCGCUGGAGAACUGAGGGGGGCUGCUCCUAGUACGAGAGGACCGGAGUGGACGCAUCACUGGUGUUCGGGUUGUCAUGCCAAUGGCACUGCCCGGUAGCUAAAUGCGGAAGAGAUAAGUGCUGAAAGCAUCUAAGCACGAAACUUGCCCCGAGAUGAGUUCUCCCUGACUCCUUGAGAGUCCUGAAGGAACGUUGAAGACGACGACGUUGAUAGGCCGGGUGUGUAAGCGCAGCGAUGCGUUGAGCUAACCGGUACUAAUGAACCGUGAG